GACGAACGCUGGCGGCGUGCCUAACACAUGCAAGUCGAGCGAAGUGAGUACUACGGUACGAACUUAGCGGCGGACGGGUGAGUAACGCGUGGACAAUCUACCCUGUAGACUGGGAUAACACCUCGAAAGGGGUGCUAAUACCGGAUAAUGUCGAGAAGCGGCAUCGCUUUUCGAAGAAAGGAGAGAAUCCGCUAUAGGAGGAGUCCGCGUCCCAUUAGCUAGUUGGUGAGGGUAACGGCCCACCAAGGCGACGAUGGGUAGCCGGCCUGAGAGGGUGAACGGCCACACUGGAACUGAGACACGGUCCAGACUCCUACGGGAGGCAGCAGUUGGGAAUAUUGUGCAAUGGGGGAAACCCUGACACAGCAACGCCGCGUGAGCGAAGAAGGCCUUCGGGUUGUAAAGCUCAAUAGUAUGGGAAGAUAAUGACGGUACCAUACGAAAGCCCCGGCUAACUACGUGCCAGCCGCCGCUGUAAGAC
rnacentral:rRNA from 1 species